rnacentral:rRNA from 1 species
UACAGAGGGUGCAAGCGUUGUUCGGAAUUACUGGGCGUAAAGCGCGCGCAGGCGGGUUUGUAAGUCGGAAGUGAAAUCUCACUGCUCAACGGUGGGGCUGCUUCUGAUACUGCAAAUCUUGAGACCGGUAGAGGUUGGUAGAAUUGCAGGUGUAGCGGUGGAAUGCGUAGAGAUGCGGAGGAACACCGAUGGCGAAGGCAGCCUCCUGGGAUAACACUGACGCUCAUGCACGAAAGCGUGGGGAGCAAACAGG